GUCGAACGAAGUAGCAAUACUUAGUGGCAGACGGGUGAGUAACAUGUAGGUAUCUACCCUUUGGCCUGGAAUAACACGAGGAAACUUGUGCUAAUACCGGAUAAGUCUUUACGGAGAAAGCUUUAUGCACCAUUGGAUGAGCCUGCACUUGAUUAGUUUGUUGGUGGGGUAAUGGCUUACCAAGACAAUGAUCAAUAGCUGAUUUGAGAGGAUGAUCAGCCACAUUGGGACUGAGACACGGCCCAAACUCCUACGGGAGGCAGCAGUAGGGAAUCUUGCACAAUGGAGGAAACUCUGAUGCAGCGAUGCCGCGUGAGUGAAGAAGGCCUUUGGGUUGUAAAGCUCUUUCGUCGGGGAAGAAAAUGACUGUACCCGAAUAAGAAGGUCCGGCUAACUUCGUGCCAGCAGCCGCGGUAAUACGAAGGGACCUAGCGUAGUUCGGAAUUACUGGGCUUAAAGAGUUCGUAGGUGGUUAAAAAAGUUGGUGGUGAAAUCCCAGAGCUUAACUCUGGAACUGCCAUCAAAACUUUUUAGCUAGAGUAUGAUAGAGGAAAGCAGAAUUUCUAGUGUAGAGGUGAAAUUCGUAGAUAUUAGAAAGAAUACCGAUUGCGAAGGCAGCUUUCUGGAUCAUUACUGACACUGAGGAACGAAAGCAUGGGUAGCGAAGAGGAUUAGAUACCCUCGUAGUCCAUGCCGUAAACGAUGUGUGUUAGACGUUGGAAAUUUAUUUUCAGUGUCGCAGCGAAAGCGAUAAACACACCGCCUGGGGAGUACGACCGCAAGGUUAAAACUCAAAUGAAUUGACGGGGACCCGCACAAGUAGUGGAGCAUGUGGUUUAAUUCGAAGAUACGCGCAGAACCUUACCAACACUUGACAUGUUCGUCGCGACUCU
rnacentral:rRNA from 1 species